UUUCAAUAUUUACAGGAAAUCUUUUUUCCCCUCAAGGGGGGCAUGUAUACCUAUUUGAAAGACCUCGUUCUUUGCCUUCAACAGGCUAUUCUUGGUUUUAUCAGGAUCUCCAAAAGAAGGAUGAUCAUCGCGCAAACACUCUCAGAAAGGGUUCUCAGAAGACCACAAUGUUCCUUCCAAAAUGUGCGUGGUAGUUGCAUUUAGAAAAAUACACACACACACACACUCAAUGUUAAUGUAUCUGUAUAGUUGAAUUAUUAGAAAUAUAAAUAAAUGAGAUGAAAUAUAA